ensembl:miRNA Gm23653 predicted gene, 23653
CAUGUGUAUUUGUGUGUAUGUGCAUGUGCAAAGAGAUACACACAUAUCAAGAUAUACACACACACACACACACACACACACACACACACACACACAC